UCCAAUUUAAAAUUUAAAGUUUUUAAGUUUAAGUUCUGAGACCUCAUUCAUUAUGUGUCAGAAACCUUUGUUGUGUCAACUAUUUAAUCACAAUCCAAAUUCUGAGCUGUAUCAAGCUUGAAUGUUGUGUACAUACUUGCCCCAAUGUUCAGGGAUCGAACUCUGCGGUCGUAUAAAGUUUUGCCCUGUCGAGCAGCUGGUUGGCCCGUAAAACUUUAGAAAAAAAGUGACUUCUUAUUCCCAUCAGCUUAAUUGACUUACAGGCCAGCAAACCAGUUGUUAUCACUAAAAUAGUCUUAAAAUUGUUUUUCAUUUUAAUAUUUUACCACGAAGUAUUUGUUAAAACUUGUAUUUCAAUUUAUUGUACAAUAGUGGCCAUAUUCACUAAAAAUAUGAUUAUCCAGAUUUAAAGAAAAAUUCUUUCAAGUUUUCUUCAUCAAUUGAUUGUUGGUUGCUUGACAUCCAGUCAAUCCAGUGGCAAAUAUUUCAUGCAUGUACAGGACGAUUUUUUCCCUUUCCAAAUCCAGUUUUCUAUUUCUUUGCAUUAAAUAUAUAAUGUGGAC
rnacentral:lncRNA from 1 species